AUCUCUCAUCACUCGUCACUCAUCACUCAUAACUCAUCAUCAGUGUUUUCUGUGUGCUCUGUAUCGACGAGAUAAAGCUUUCAUUCUCUCAUCACUCAUCAUCAGCGUUUUCUGUGUGCUCUGUAUCGACGAGAUAAAAGAAAGAAAGAAACAAAAGAGUUUGAGAAACUGAACACACUUCGCGUACGCGUCCUUUCCUUAUCCCAAAACCCUAACUUUAUCUCUCUACUUUCUCUCUCCGAUUCCUCCCAAUUUAUCUCUAUAUAUGUGUGUGUAUAUAUAGAUAGAUCUUCCAGAGGGUAAUGGAUGAGAACGACAGAGUCGAUCCAGGAAUUACAGAUUUAUCGGCAGAGUCGAGCUGGUCGUUCGGCGGUGACUCGGAGAGCGUUUACUUGUUCGGAGGUAGCGACAGAGAGAGCAGCAUACUCAGCGAAUUCGGCUGGAAUCUCCGGCCAGAGGCAGGUAGUUUUUCUCACUUUGAUCGGAUCGGUAUGGAGGAGGAUUUGGCCGGAAAUGAUCAGCCGAAAAGUACUUGUUCUACAUCUACCACUGGUGGUGGUGGGACGGUGGUUCAAGCGACGUCGAAUCGGUCGAUGUCUUCGAGCUCCUCCGAGGAUCUGCCGGAGAAGUCGACGGAGUCCGACGGGAACAAAGCAGCGCCCGAGACAGCGAGCAAAGUAAAAAAGAAGGGGCAAAAGAGAAUCCAACAGCCACGUUUUGCAUUCAUGACUAGGAGCGAAGUUGAUCAUCUUGAAGAUGGUUAUCGAUGGCGGAAAUAUGGCCAGAAAGCAGUUAAAAAUAGUCCAUUUCCUAGGAGCUAUUAUCGGUGUACAAACAGCAAAUGCACAGUGAAGAAAAGGGUUGAACGCUCUUCGGAUGAUCCAACUAUUGUAAUCACUACAUACGAAGGCCAGCAUUGUCACCAUACAGUUGGAUUCCCCAGAGGUGGAGGUGGAGGUGGUGGACUCGUCAAUCAUGAAGCUGCCUUCGCAAGCCAAUUGACUCCUUCAGCUUCACAUUUUUAUUAUUCAGGACUAGGAGGACUCCAAUUUCCUCCACAACCUCCUCCUCUCGGUAUUUUACCACAAUCAUCAUCUCAUCAAGUUCCAGGUGAAGCAAGAGAAAAUCCUAAGCUUCCCACUGAUGAAGGACUUCUCGGUGACAUUGUACCUCCUGGAAUGCGCAAUCAAUGACAGCAAGUUGUUGGAGUGAAGCAGACGACUUCCUGUAAACACUAUUGUUGUGUGGACUGGAGAAGCUAAAACAUGACCACAGGGCUACAGCUGCUAUUUUUGACCCGGAUGUGAGUCAGUUUUUUAACCUGUGAGGGUGAAACCCUUUUCCUUCAUAUCAGUCAGUUCAAGUGGCGUGGUUUCGUACACGAGAGAGUAAAUUUUAGAGCCAGAUACAGUGCACUGUUGCGUGUGCUUCGAUAUUGAUUUGUUUCGAUCUCAGCCCGACAGUGCUUUUUCCCUCCUUCCUUUUCACCCAUUUUGUCAAUAUUCAUUUUCUUUACUUCCUUAUGAAGAUACCACUAUCAACCCAAUUGCGGAAUUAU